rnacentral:rRNA from 1 species
GACGUAGGGCGCGGAGCGUUGUCCGGAUUUAUUGGGCGUAAAGAGCUCGGUAGGCGGCUUGUCGCGUCGACUGUGAAAACCCGCGGCUCAACCGUGUGGUCUGCAGUCGAUACGGGCAGGCUAGAGUUCGGUAGGGGAGACUGGAAUUCCUGGUGUGAGCGGUGAAAUGACGCAGAUAUCAGGAGGAACACCGGUGGCGAAGGCGGGUCUCUGGGCCGAAUACUGACGCUGGAGGAGCGAAAGAGACCGUGGGGAGCGAACAGGAUUAGAA